rnacentral:tRNA from 1 species
GGGCGAUUAGCUCAGUUGGUUAGAGUGUCUGCUCGACAUGCAGAAAGUCACAGGUUCAAAUCCUGUAUCGCCCACCA